CUUUUAAGUCAAGUAACUGCCGUUGUCAUUAUGAUCUUGAAGAAAACAUAAUAAGUCAUUUGGACCUCUUUCUUUAACAAAAAAAGUCGGGCUGAUGAUCCUUAAAUGUCUUGUAACAGAGUGCCAUAAUUCUAAAACUAAUGUAUCCCCGGCUCUUCAACAGAGGAUUGAGGAAAUGUUUCUUGGCUUAGCUGUUUUACUUGCCAAGGACGCUUUAAUUUGACAUCAAUGCGAUGUUCCCUGCAUCUUGCUUGUGAUAUAAGGCACUAUUCUGGAUGUUCGGAUGAUCUAACUCCUACCUUGCCUGAUCCCCUCUCUGGGGGUGACCAUGUGACACAACUCUGGACAAUAAAAUGUCAAAGAAAGCCAAUUAAAUGAGGCUUUUAAGAAGACUGUUGCUUUUCUGGCUAAGCAGUUUUUGCUCAUUUGCCCUGUGCUCUUUUAGACAGAUAACUAAAGUCUCAGGUUCUAUGAGAUAAGGAACAUGGGAAAAAGCCAAGAGACUCAUGGAGAUUCUGGAGAUCUCUGAGCUGAGGAACCAUAACCAGUAGUUGUCAACCAUCAGAUUUCAUAUUAUGUGUAAACAAAUAAACCUUUAUUUAAACUAUUCUUGUCGGCA
rnacentral:lncRNA from 1 species